AGUGAACGCUGGCGGUAGGCCUAACACAUGCAAGUCGAACGGCAGCACCGUAAGAGCUUGCUCUUACGGGUGGCGAGUGGCGGACGGGUGCGGAAUACAUCGGAAUCUACUUUUUCGUGGGGGCUAACGUAGGGAAACUUACGCUAAUACCGCAUACGACCUACGGGUGAAAGCAGGGGAUCUUCGGACCUUGCGCGAUUGAAUGAGCCGAUGUCGGAUUAGCUAGUUGGCGGGGUAAAGGCCCAACAAGGCGACGAUCCGUAGCUGGUCUGAGAGGAUGAUCCAGCACACGGGAACUGAGAAACGGUCCAGACUCCUACGGGAGGCAGCAGUGGGGAAUAUUGGACAAGGGGCGCAAGCCUGAUCCAGCCAUACCGCGUGAGUGAAGAAGGCCUUCGGGUUGGAGAGCCCUUUUGUUGGGAAAGAAAAGCAGCAGUUUAAUACCCCGCUGUUCUGACGGUACCCAAAGAAUAAGCACCGGCUAACUUCGUG
rnacentral:rRNA from 1 species